GACGAAGGAUGCAAGCGUUAUCCGGAUUCAUUGGGUUUAAAGGGAGCGUAGGCGGACUUAUAAGUCAGUGGUGAAAUCUCCUUGCUUAACAAGGAAACUGCCAUUGAUACUGUAGGUCUUGAGUACAGUUGCCGUUGGCGGAAUAUGACAUGUAGUGGUGAAAUACUUAGAUAUGUCAUAGAACACCGAUUGCGAAGGCAGCUAACGAAGCUGUAACUGACGCUGAGGCUCGAAAGUGCGGGGAUCAAACAGGAUUAGAUACCCCCGUAGUCC
rnacentral:rRNA from 1 species